UACGGGGGGGGCAAGCGUUGUUCGGAAUUACUGGGCGUAAAGGGCUCGUAGGCGGCCAACUAAGUCAGACGUGAAAUCUCUCGGCUUAACCGGGGAACUGCAUCUGAUACUGGAUGGCUUGAGAUUGGGAGAGGGAUGCGGAAUUCCAGGUGUAGCGGUGAAAUGCGUAGAUAUCUGGAGGAACACCGGUGGCGAAGGCGGCAUCCUGGACCAACACUGACGCUCAUGUGCGAAAGCGUGGGGAGCAAACAGG
rnacentral:rRNA from 1 species